CAAAGCACGGAACAGCUAGAAUCAUUCUCAGUCCUAACAUUGUAUUGAGCACACCUUUCUCUCUAAAAUAAAUCGAAAUAAAAACUUUCUCCAAUCUUCGAAAGCCACGAAAAGCGAAUAUUAUAUUUAUAAAGCCGAAGCCUGAUAAU